rnacentral:rRNA from 1 species
UACGUAGGAUGCGAGCGUUGUCCGGAAUUAUUGGGCGUAAAGAGAACGUAGGCGGUUUCCUAAGUUCGGUCUUAAAGACCGGGGCUCAACCCCGGGAAUGGAUUGAAAACUGGGAGACUCGAGGACAUCAGAGGAAAGUGGAAUUCCCAGUGUAGCGGUGAAAUGCGUAGAUAUUGGGAGGAACACCAGUGGCGAAGGCGACUUCCUGGCCUGUUCUUGACGCUGAGGCGCGAAAGCUAGGGGAGCAAACGGG